GGAGAGGGAAUUACACAUCACCUGAUUUUGGAUGCAUGUGUGAGGUAUGCUACUGUACUCACAAGACAUCUGAAACUAUACCCAGAUCAUCUAGAAGUGAACAUGUUCCAGGUGAUGUCCCUAUGUAAACCAAGGGUUGGUUUUCAGUGGGUAGAAAAUGCCCUUCAAACACUGACCCUGUCAUAUUGCAGAUGCCUUCAGGUAAAAAGUCAAUUAACCACUGGUGGGCAAUAUCCAAAAUUGAUAGCAGAAACAGAAAAAUAAAAGACUACUCAGCAAAGACAAGUAGAGUUUCUGGAGGCUGGGAUGUCCAAGGUCAAGAUGCUGACAGAUUGAUUGUCCCUGGAAAGCCUGCUUCAUAGAUGACCAUCUUCUCCGUGUGUUCUCCCUGUGUUCUCAGGAGUGGGGUUACCUUUCUGGUGCCUCUUUUUCAUAAGGACACUAUUCCCGUUCCUGAGGGCUCCAUUCUCAUAACACAACAUCCAGAAGGUCCUACAUUCUAAUAUCAUCAUACUGCAGAUUGGCAUGGUGUGGAUGGAAGUGAAGAAAAAUGUUCCAGGUUGCUUGUGCAAGACUUUCAAAGUGAAAACAAUUGAGAGACUGAUGCAUGGAAAUCACAGAUGAAGAUGAAAAUACCACCUUCAUGGCCAGUCAAGUGUUGAAGAAUGUGAUUUAGAUGCAGCCAACGGUACCUACAAUUACACUCCAACAAAAUGGAACUCACUUCAAACUAAGAGCCCAUUCCAUGGAGGAGAGGAGAAUGAGAAUGUAGAACAGUCAGACAAAGGUAGAGAAAGGAAGAAUCCCAGCCAAUUCUUGAAGCUUAGCUUUAAAUCCAGUUUGUUCCUAAACACUCAGC
rnacentral:lncRNA from 10 species